rnacentral:rRNA from 1 species
UACGUAGGGGGCAAGCGUUGUCCGGAUUCAUAGGGCGUAAAGAGCGUGUAGGCGGCCAUACAGGUCCGUUGUGAAAACUGGAGGCUUAACCUCCAGACGUCGAUGGAAACCGUAUGGCUAGAGUCCGGAAGAGGAGAGUGGAAUUCCUGGUGUAGCGGUGAAAUGCGCAGAUAUCAGGAAGAACACCCGUGGCGAAGGCGGCUCUCUGGGACGGUACUGACGCUGAGACGCGAAAGCGUGGGGAGCGAACAGG